GAUGAACGCUAGCUAUAGGCUUAACACAUGCAAGUCGAGGGGAAACGGCAUUAUGUGCUUGCACAUUUUGGACGUCGACCGGCGCACGGGUGAGUAUCGCGUAUCCAACCUGCCCUUUACUUGGGGAUACCCCGUUGAAAGACGGCCUAAUACCCGAUGUAAUUCAUUGAUGGCAUCAGAUAUGAAUAAAAGAUUUAUCGGUAAAGGAUGGGGAUGCGUCUGAUUAGCUUGUUGGUGAGGUAACGGCUCACCAAGGCGACGAUCAGUAGGGGUUCUGAGAGGAAGGUCCCCCACAUUGGAACUGAGACACGGUCCAAACUCCUACGGGAGGCAGCAGUGAGGAAUAUUGGUCAAUGGGCGCAAGCCUGAACCAGCCAAGUAGCGUGCAGGAAGACGGCCCUGUGGGUUGUAAACUGCUUUUAUACGAGAAUAAUUUGAUGCACGUGUGCGUUAUUGCAUGUAUCGUAUGAAUAAGGACCGGCUAAUUCCGUG
rnacentral:rRNA from 1 species